rnacentral:ncRNA from 2 species
ACUUAAUAAUGAGCAAUGAGUAUACUUUCUUGAGAGAAAGUAUUGAAAAGGAAAGUCAGUUAAUCUGACGCGGUCCCGCCACUGUGAUAGUGAGCGGUCUUACAAAGAUGUCACUGGGCCACCGGGAAGACGUAAGGCAGCGAUGAACUUAAGCCAGGAGACCUGCUCAUUGCAACCACGCAGA